CCCUUAGAUGUUCUGGGCCGCACGCGCGCUACACUGAUGCAUUCAACGAGUCUAAAACCUGCUCUGAUAGGGGUGGGUAAUCUUUUGAAUGUGCAUCGUGAUUGGGAUAGAUGAUUGCAAUUUUUCAUCUUCAACGAGGAAUACCUAGUAAACGCAAGUCAUCAGCUUGCAUUGAUUACGUCCCUGCCCUUUGUACACACCGCCCGUCGCUACUACCGAUUGAAUGGCUGGGUGAAGAAGACGGACACGGCCGCCCUAAAAAGCGGGCGUUGGAAGUCUUCUCAACCUAGGUCAUUUAGAGGAAGUAAAAGUCGUAACA
rnacentral:rRNA from 1 species